ACUCGGAUAACCGUAGUAAUUCUAGAGCUAAUACNUGCGUAAAUCCCCACUUUUGAAGGGACGNAUUUAUUAUAUAAAGACCGACCUCGUUUUGCGGUGAAUCAUGAUAACUUUACGGAUCGCAUGGGCUUGUCCCGGCGAUGUUCCAUUCAAAUUUCUGCCCUAUCAACUUUCNAUGGUANGAUAGAGGCCUACCAUGGNGGUAACGGGUGACGGANAAUUANGGUUCGAUUCCGGAGAGGGAGCCUGAGAAACGGCUACCACAUCCNAGGAAGGCAGCAGGNGCGCAAAUUACCCAAUCCUGACACAGGGAGGUAGUGACAAUAAAUAACAAUACCGGGCUUUUUCAAGUCUGGUAAUUGGAAUGAGAACAAUCUAAAUCCCUUAACGAGGAUCCAUU
rnacentral:rRNA from 1 species